AUUCAGCUGAUGAGUCCCAAAUAAGGCGAAACGCCCGUCCCGGAU
rnacentral:hammerhead_ribozyme from 1 species